AGUGAAAUUGCUGGGUCAUAUGGUAAUUCUAUGUUUAACUUUUUGAGGAAAUGCCAAACUGUUUUCCACAGUGGAUGUAUCAUUUUACACUCCCACCAGCAAU
rnacentral:pre_miRNA from 1 species